GUGAGGAAUUUUCCGCAAUGGGCGAAAGCCUGACGGAGCAAUGCCGCGUGAGUGAUGAAGGCCUUAGGGUUGUAAAGCUCUUUUACCCGGGAUGAUAAUGACAGUACCGGGAGAAUAAGCUCCGGCUAACUCCGUGCCAGCAGCCGCGGUAAUACGGAGGGAGCUAGCGUUAUUCGGAAUUACUGGGCGUAAAGCGCACGUAGGCGGCCUUGUAAGUUAGAGGUGAAAGCCUGGAGCUCAACUCCAGAAUUGCCUUUAAGACUGCAUCGCUUGAAUCCAAGAGAGGUGAGUGGAAUUCCGAGUGUAGAGGUGAAAUUCGUAGAUAUUCGGAAGAACACCAGUGGCGAAGGCGGCUCACUGGCUUGGUAUUGACGCUGAGGUGCGAAAGCGUGGGGAGCAAACAGG
rnacentral:rRNA from 1 species